ensembl:snRNA U6 U6 spliceosomal RNA
GUGCUUACUUUCACAGCACAUAUACUAAAAUUGGAACAAUACAGAGGAGAUUACCAUGGCCCCUGUGCAAGGCUGACACAAACACAACAGCAUGAAAAGAAUAAAAUACUU